UACAGAGGUCUCAAGCGUUGUUCGGAUUCAUUGGGCGUAAAGGGUGCGUAGGUGGCGCCGUAAGUCAGGUGUGAAAUUUCGGAGCUUAACUCCGAAACUGCAUUUGAUACUGCGGUGCUUGAGGACUGGAGAGGAGACUGGAAUUCACGGUGUAGCAGUGAAAUGCGUAGAUAUCGUGAGGAAGACCAGUGGCGAAGGCGGGUCUCUGGACAGUUCCUGACACUGAGGCACGAAGGCUAGGGGGAGCAAACGGGG
rnacentral:rRNA from 1 species